UUUUCUUUAUCCAGUUGACCGUUGAUGGGCAUACAGCACUUUUACAAUUAGAAAAAAAUUAAAAGCAUAAAAACUAUGAUAAGCAGCCGGGUGCGGUGGCUCAUGCCUGUAAUCCCAGCACUUUGGGAGGCCAAGGCAGGCGGAUCACAAGGUCAGGAGAUCGAGACCAUCCUGGCUAACACGGUGAAACCCCGUCUCUACUAAAAAUACAAAAAAUUAGCCAGGUGUGGUGGUGGGCACCUGUAGUCCCAGCUACUUGGGAGGCCAAGGCAGGAGAAUGGUGUGAACCCAGGAGGUGGAGCUUGCAGUGAGCCGAGAUCACACCACCGCACUCCAGCCUGGGUGACAGAGCGAGACUCUGUUUCCAAAAAAAAAAAAAAAAAAAAAACUAUGAAACUAUGAUAAGCCUUUAACAUAAGAAAUUCCCAGGCAUUCCAGAGUAGCAUGAUUGACUGUAAAGGAAGCCUCUUGACUCUGGGUCUCCAGGAGCUGGGUUUGAAAGCAGGACGAGGUGGUGUGUGGCCUCCGUGCAACCUACAGAACCUCACGACACUAUCCUAUAUGGCUUGACUGCGCUGUCCCGUGGGACCUGAAGACACUACUCUUCCUUGUGCUUUUUCCAUACUCACAUCCAAGUGCCGUGUGAUUCCAGAUCUGUUGAGAGAUGUGUAUUCAGUGAUGCAAAUUGUAAAGUACAAGAGAAGCAGGACUGAGAAGCGAGGAGGCCGGGCACAGCGGCCCACACCUGUAAUCCCAGAACUUUUGGAGGUGGAGGUGGAAUGAUCACUUGCAUCCAGCAGUUCGAGACCAGCCUGGGCAACAGAGCAAGACCCCAUCUCUACAAAAAGUAAAAAUUAGCCGGGUGUGGUGGCGCAUGCCUGUGGUCCCAGCUACUCAAGAGGCUGAGGUGGGAGGAUCCCUUGAGCCUGGGAGUUCGAGGCUGCAGUGAGCCAUGAUUGCACCACAGCACUCCAGCCUGGGUGACAGAAUGAGACUCUGUCUGAAACUAAGAGGAGAAAAAAAGGAGAGAAGGAAUAAAAUAUUACUUUUUUUUGUUUUUUUGAGACAGAUUCUCACUCUGUCACUCAGGCUGGAGUGCAGUGGCGUGAUCUCGGCUCACUGCAACCUCCACCUCCCAGGUUCAAGUGAUUCUCCUGCCUCAGCCUCAUGAGUAGCUGGGGUUACAGGCACCCACCACCACACCCGGCUAAUUUUUGUAUUUUUAGUAGAGAUGGGGUUUCAUCAUGUGGGCCAGGCUGGUCUUGAACUCCUGACCUCAGGUGAUCCACGCACCUCAGCCUUCCAAAGUGGUGGGAUUACAGGCGUGAGCCACCGCACCCGGCUGGAAUGAAAUAGAACAUUUUUAAAAUGUAUUAAGCUUCUACUGUGUGCUACUCUUAUUCACUCAGGUCCGACCCCUUAGUCCUUUAACUACCUGGGGCUUCCUUUUCUUUCUUUUCUUGUAGCAGUGGAGGAAAAUGAGGCUGGUUAAGUGAAGUGAGCUCUGAGACCUUGUGUGACUUUGUUUUCAUUGUAUCCAUUUGCAUUAAGUGCAGUGAGCUCUGGCGCAAACCACCCUCUGCCCCGUCUGUUGGAUCCAUUUGCAGAGGCCUUGGCAAGGGCUCGCGUGAUCCCCGUGCUGCUCACCCAGGCCUGACCUGCGGAGGGGGCGGAAGCCUGCAGCCAGUGCCUGUCUCCUCCCUCAGGCCACUACUACGUGCCCCUCCUGAGAGCGGAAGAGACUUCUUCUCCAGUCAUCGGGGAGCUGUGGUCCCCAGACCAGACGGCCGAGGCCUCUCACGUCAGCCACUAUGGAGGCAGCCCCAGAGACCCGGUGCUGACCCUGAGAGCCUUCGCAGGGCCCCUGAGUCCAGCCAAGGCAGAAGAUUUUCGCAAGCUCUGGAAAACUCCACCUCGAGAGAAAGCAGGCUUCCUUCACCACGUCAAGAAGUCGGACCCGGAAAGAGGCUUUGAGAGAGUGGGAAGGGAGCUAGCUCAUGAGCUGGGGUAUCCCUGGGUUGAAUACUGGGAAUUUCUGGGCUGUUUUGUUGAUCUGUCUUCCCAGGAAGGCCUGCAAAGACUAGAAGAAUAUCUCACACAGCAGGAAAUAGGCAAAAAGGCUCAACAAGAAACAGGAGAACGGGAAGCCUCCUGCCGAGAUAAAGCCACCACGUCUGGCAGCAAUUCCAUUUCCGUGAGGGCGUUUCUAGAUGAAGAUGACAUGAGCUUGGAAGAAAUAAAAAAUCGGCAAAAUGCAGCUCGAAAUAACAGCCCGCCCACAGUCGGUGCUUUUGGACAUACGAGGUGCAGCACCUUCCCCUUGGAGCAGGAGGCAGACCUCAUAGAAGCCGCCGAGCCGGGCGGUCCACACAGCAGCAGAAAUGGGCUCUGCCAUCGUCUGAGUCACAGCAGGACCCUGGCGGGCAAGAGACCAAAGGCCCCCCGUGGGGAGGAAGCCCGUCUGCCAUCUGUCUCUGAUUUGACUGUUGCGUUUGAUAAACUGAAUUUGCAAAAUGUAGGAAGUAGCGUUUCCAAGACACCAGAUGAAAAUACAAAAACUAAAGAUCAGAUCCUGACUUCAAGAAUCAAUGCAGUAGAAAGAGACUUGUUAGAGCCUUCUCCCGCAGACCAACUCGGGAAUGGCCACAGGAGGACAGAAAGUGAAAUGUCAGCCAGGAUCGCUAAAAUGUCCUUGAGUCCCAGCAGCCCCAGGCACGAGGAUCAG
rnacentral:sRNA from 1 species